GCUGGAUGGAAACCCAGAUGCUCCAGCAUUAGAGGAGGGUUUUGUGUGUGUUUUUUUAACCAGGAAAUAACCUUCUCCAAAGCUGCAGUUUCCACGAGUCCACACUAAAUUAUCCACCUGUAACAUUUUCCUUUUUUUUUUUGACACUCAUUCUUUCCAUGGCACAUUUGCGGAGAUGUGAUCACAGAGCGGCAGCGUCUUUAAUCAGCCUCUACGGGCUGUAAAGUGAGAGAAUCUAAACGUGACGUCAAUGCCUAGUAACUGACGCAGCCCUUCAACAAAAAAAAUGGCUUUUUAUUUAUUAUUUUUUUCUCCUUCUCGUCAGCAAAGCUUAAUUACUAAAUUUUACAGUGCUCCGUCGACUAAAAAGAAAAAAGAAAAUCCUGCAGGGAGCGUCGGAUCAUCCGCGUUCAUCAGGAUUUGGAUUUUAUUUUUGCGUUCAUGAGUUUGAGCUGCUGAAGUGACACUGGGACUAGAAGCUUCUGAAGAGGGCGACAAGACAUCAGAUAUUGUCGAUGAUAUUGGCAGCGACGACUAGUUCCAGAUUUUAGUUGUAGAGGGCUGAAAGUAGUGUGUUUUUAAGGCUGAGAGUGAGGUGGUGCUGCUGUUGGAGGCACAUUGGGUUCCUAAAAAAAAAAAAAUCACUGCAAUGAUGCAACGGAGGGGAAUCGGGGCUCUUGUGCAGAGUUGGACAGGCAAAAUUAAUUUACAUUACAUGCACUUCACGUAACGCUCCUAAGCGAAGCCUUUUGUGAGUGUUUUUUUUCCCUUCCUCGUACUGUGACCUAAAAAUAGCAUCAUAGUUUUGAUCGUGCGCCAGAAAUAGACAGACGGGUAUCACUUGUAUAAAAAGGGAGGCGAUCCUGAGCAAACUUGGACGUGCCACUUUUCAGAACAAGGACGUGGCUGCACCACGGAGGGAGCAACGACAACAAGACAAACAAGAGCGCAGACAGAGAUGAGGUGACUCGUGUGGACCCCGUCGCUGCUGCUGCUGGAGCCUCCAGCUGUGCGCCGGAGAUAAAAUAAAAAACAAAAAAAAACCGGGGGGGACCCACGUUUUGGAUGUUUCCACCGAGGAGCGCACAGAGAGAGAUGGAGACACCGGGCCACCGACCUUCC